AAUGAAAAUAUUCUAACGAGCUCUUUCUUAUACAUCAUGUCCUCUCAUGUAUCGAAAUUCGAUCCUUAAACUGAUAAAGCCCAAUAGGGCAUGAUAUCUUAAUCUGAAUUUCAGUUCGGUAGAGCCCCAAAGGGCAUGCUUAUUUAUCUGGAUUUCAGUCUGAUAGAGCCUUGAAGGGCAUGAAUGUUAAUCCAGAUUUUAGUCUGAUAGAGCCCCAAAGGGCAUGAAUAUUUAUCCAGAUUUUAGUCCGAUAGAGCCCUAAAGGGAAUGGAUGUUAAUCUGGAUUCCAGUUCGAUAGAGUCUCGAAGGGCAUGAAUGUUAAUCCAGAUUCC
rnacentral:lncRNA from 1 species